rnacentral:lncRNA from 1 species
GUAAUCCAUCCCUAAGCUGCUCCAAGUAACAAUCCUGUUAGUGGACCAGAAAGCUGCUUUCUCUCAGACCAUUGAUUUCAAAGCUGGAAAACAGCAGGCACUGUGUUGGGAGUAAGCAAUGUGGAGUCAUCUCUUCCCCCAGAGAAACGCUGACAAGUAUUAGCUCACAGACAUGUGUGCACAAAGAUGGAUGCUCACAGUUGUCCGUUGGAGCACUGUUUGAAGCAGCAAAAGGAACCAAUUCAACUUUCCCUGAGUAGGAAAAUGGCUAAAUAAAUGGACCUUCAAGAGGUGAUUGGGUCAUGAGAGUUCUGCACUCGUGAAUGGAUUAAUGUCAACAUCAUUUUCAUAUUUUCAUUUCUUUCUCCCCUAUCUUUCUCAUGCACACAUGCACUCUCUUUCCCUUCCAUCUUUCACACCAUGGGACAACACAGCAAGAAGCCCCUUGCCAGAAGCAAGCCUCAUGACUUAGGACUUUCCAGCCUCCAGAAUUGUAAGAAAUAGAUUUCUGUACUUCAUAUAAAAAAGUAUGAUGUGAUUGAUGCUU